AUUUUGUUGUCCUGUGGGACAUUUUCCUUUAUUCACAGUAGCUUUCUGCAAAUUCUGCCCUUCUGAGAUCCAGUGGGGCCUCAGGUGUUCUGAAGUCCUCUAGCACAGGCUUUGCACACUACUCUAUUUCAGCAGAAGCAGCUCCACCGUUGGUCCACCAAAGGUCCACCAUGUCACCAUCACCAAAGUUUGGCAAUUGGUUGCUAGCUUCGUGCCCACCCCUAUUUCCAAAUCAGGCUCAGGGCUGCAGAGAGUCAGUCACAGGGCUGCGGUGGGCCAGGUCCAGAGGGAGCUGGGAUCAGACACAUCGAAAGGCAGUGAUCACCUGGAUCGUCCUAAAACUGCCUCUGAGCUGUUGGAACUAAGCUUUCUCUCAUCUCUUCAAGGAAGAUAUGACACCAACUUUGUUUUAGCAGAAACAAAUCCCAAAUAAAUCAUCCACAGAGG